rnacentral:rRNA from 1 species
UGGGGAAUAUUGCACAAUGGGGGAAACCCUGAUGCAGCCAUGCCGCGUGUGUGAAGAAGGCCUUCGGGUUGUAAAGCACUUUCAGCGAGGAGGAAGAUUAAGUAGUUAAUACCUGCUUGAUUUGACGUUACUCGCAGAAGAAGCACCGGCUAACUCCGUGCCAGCAGCCGCGGUAAUACGGAGGGUGCGAGCGUUAAUCGGAAUUACUGGGCGUAAAGCGUACGCAGGCGGUCAUUUAAGUCAGAUGUGAAAGCCCCGGGCUCAACCUGGGAACUGCAUUUGAAACUGGAUGACUAGAGUGCGACAGAGGGUGGUAGAAUUUCAGGUGUAGCGGUGAAAUGCGUAGAGAUCUGAAGGAAUACCAAUGGCGAAGGCAGCCACCUGGGUCGACACUGACGCUCAUGUACGAAAGCGUGGGUAGCAAACAGGAUUAGAUACCCUGGUAGUCCACGCCGUAAACGAUGUCUACUAGCAGCUUGGUUCGUUAAGAACUGUUUUGCGCAGCUAACGCAUUAAGUAGACCGCCUGGGGAGUACGGCCGCAAGGUUAAAACUCAAAUGAAUUGACGGGGGCCCGCACAAGCGGUGGAGCAUGUGGUUUAAUUCGAUGCAACGCGAAGAACCUUACCAUCCCUUGACAUCCAGAGAAUUUUCUAGAGAUAGAUUAGUGCCUUCGGGAACUCUGAGACAGGUGCUGCAUGGCUGUCGUCAGCUCGUGUUGUGAAAUGUUGGGUUAAGUCCCGCAACGAGCGCAACCCUUAUCCUUAGUUGCUAGCAGGUUAUGCUGAGAACUCUAAGGAGACUGCCGGUGACAAACCGGAGGAAGGUGGGGACGACGUCAAGUCAUCAUG